rnacentral:rRNA from 1 species
GACAGCAAUAUGAAGGCCAGGCUGAAGACUUUGCCGGAUUAGCUGAGAGGUGGUGCAUGGCCGUCGUCAGUUCGUACUGCGAAGCAUCCUGUUAAGUCAGGCAACGAGCGAGACCCACGCCCACAGUUGCCAGCGUACUCUCUGGAGUGACGGGUACACUGUGGGGACCGCCGCUGCUAAAGCGGAGGAAGGAAUGGGCAACGGUAGGUCAGUAUGCCCCGAAUAUCCCGGGCUACACGCGAGCUACGAAUGGUUGGUACAAUGGGUAUCUACCCCGAAAGGGGACGGGAAUCUCCUAAAACCAAUCUUAGUUCGGAUUGAGGGCUGCAACUCGCCCUCAUGAAGCUGGAAUCCGUAGUAAUCGCGUUUCAACAGAACGCGGUGAAUACGUCCCUGCUCCUU